rnacentral:rRNA from 1 species
CCUACGGGGGGCUGCAGUGGGGAAUAUUGCACAAUGGGCGCAAGCCUGAUGCAGCCAUGCCGCGUGUGUGAAGAAGGCCUUCGGGUUGUAAAGCACUUUCAGCGGGGAGGAAGGCGGUGAGGUUAAUAACCUCAUCGAUUGACGUUACCCGCAGAAGAGGCACCGGCUAACUCCGUGCCAGCAGCCGCGGUAAUACGGAGGGUGCAAGCGUUAAUCGGAAUUACUGGGCGUAAAGCGCACGCAGGCGGUCUGUCAAGUCGGAUGUGAAAUCCCCGGGCUCAACCUGGGAACUGCAUUCGAAACUGGCAGGCUAGAGUCUUGUAGAGGGGGGUAGAAUUCCAGGUGUAGCGGUGAAAUGCGUAGAGAUCUGGAGGAAUACCGGUGGCGGAGGCGGCCCCCUGGACAAAGACUGACGCUCAGGUGCGAAAGCGUGGGGAGCAAACAGGAUUAGAUACCCCAGUAGUC